CGCAAGGAAUGAUGAAUUUGAUUACCGAGCAAGUAACAAGGAUUUCUAGUAUUGCACCCAUCUAACACCAAACCCACAACCACCUUAGAAACUAAAUUAAUAUCAAUUGAUCUGAAACCCCACUUAAACAAAAAAUUUCCAUUAUGAUCUUGAAAUCACAUAUCCACAUGUUGUCAUAGCUCCAAGAUUAGUCAUAACACCACCUCGAUUAAUGUUCGCGCUCCUAGAAACAGCGAGGUUCUAAAUGAUGAGUAGGGAAACAUCCUUACCAAAGUAUAUAGGAGGAAGACAAUCUUGUAUGGCUAAGAACUGCAUGAUUGAAACCUGUUGUUGAAUAAUCUCCCUGAUCCAACCAAUCAAGGGUUACUACAUACAUUGUCGACCAAACACUACAUUUUGAACAAUAAAGAGUCUUUAAGUUAUUCAACAACCAAGUAAUGAUGU
rnacentral:lncRNA from 1 species